UACAUGGGGUGCAAACGUUGCUCGGAAUUAUUGGGCGUAAAGCGCGCGUAGGCGGUUACUCAAGUCGGAUGUGAAAGCCCUCGGCUUAACUGAGGAAGUGCACCCGAAACUGAGUAGCUAGAGUACUAAAGAGGGUCGCGGAAUUCCCGGUGUAGAGGUGAAAUUCGUAGAUAUCGGGAGGAACACCGGUGGCGAAGGCGGCGACCUGGGUAGAUACUGACGCUGAGGCGCGAAAGCGUGGGGAGCAAACAGA
rnacentral:rRNA from 1 species